AUACGUAGGGGGCAAGCGUUGUCCGGAAUUACUGGGCGUAAAGGGAGCGCAGGCGGUCUUUUAAGUAGGAUGUGAAAUACCCGGGCUUAACCUGGGGGGUGCAUCCUAAACUGGGGGACUUGAGUGUGGGAGAGGAAAGUGGAAUUCCUAGUGUAGCGGUGAAAUGCGUAGAUAUUAGGAGGAACACCAGUGGCGAAGGCGACUUUCUGGACCAUAACUGACGCUGAGGCUCGAAAGCGUGGGGAGC
rnacentral:rRNA from 1 species